AUAAUAAUAAUAAUAUCGGAAGCUGAUUUAGACGUCGAACUUAAUUGUACCGUACCAAAUUGCGAGGACACUAUAUUGGACAUAUUUACAAUGCAAAUAUAUGAUAAUCAUAUUAUGAUGUUAAAAAAUAAUUAUGCAUUAGGUUCGGCGCAUGAAAAGCACGGCGUCUAAAUCAAUGUCGAACCUGUGUCGCAUAUACGACUUGUCUUGUCGCAUCUUCGAGUCAUGUCGAACUUAAUCAAAACCUGUCGAACUUAAUUGAUUUAGACGCCGCUCCAGCGUCGCACUUAAUUCUUGCAUUAGAUUCGGCGCAUGAGAAGUUCGCCGUCUAAACCGGGCCUAAG